rnacentral:rRNA from 1 species
UACGUAGGGUGCAAGCGUUGUCCGGAAUUAUUGGGCGUAAAGAGCUCGUAGGCGGUUCGUCGCGUCGGCUGUGAAAUCCCGAGGCUCAACCUCGGGUCUGCAGUCGAUACGGGCGGACUGGAGUUCGGCAGGGAAGACUGGAACUUCCUGGUGUAGCGGUGAAAUGCGCCAGAUAUCAGGAGGAACACCGAUGGCGAAGGCAGGUCUCUGGGCGAUUAACUGACGCUGGAGGAGCGAAAGCAUGGGGAGCGAACAGG